rnacentral:rRNA from 1 species
CCCGAAACCCGGUGAUCUAGCCAUGGGCAGGUUGAAGGUUGGGUAACACUAACUGGAGGACCGAACCGACUAAUGUUGAAAAAUUAGCGGAUGACUUGUGGCUGGGGGGGAAAGGCCAAUCAAACCGGGAGAUAGCUGGUUCUCCCCGAAAGCUAUUUAGGUAGCGCCUCGUGAAUUCAUCUCCGGGGGUAGAGCACUGUUUCGGCAAGGGGGUCAUCCCGACUUACCAACCCGAUGCAAACUGCGAAUACCGGAGAAUGUUAUCACGGGAGACACACGGCGGGUGCUAACGUCCGUCGUGAAGAGGGAAACAACCCAGACCGCCAGCUAAGGUCCCAAAGUCAUGGUUAAGUGGGAAACGAUGUGGGAAGGCCCAGACAGCCAGGAUGUUGGCUUAGAAGCAGCCAUCAUUUAAAGAAAGCGUAAUAGCUCACUGGUCGAGUCGGCCUGCGCGGAAGAUGUAACGGGGCUAAACCAUGCACCGAAGCUGCGGCAGCGACGCUUAUGCGUUGUUGGGUAGGGGAGCGUUCUGUAAGCCUGCGAAGGUGUGCUGUGAGGCAUGCUGGAGGUAUCAGAAGUGCGAAUGCUGACAUAAGUAACGAUAAAGCGGGUGAAAAGCCCGCUCGCCGGAAGACCAAGGGUUCCUGUCCAACGUUAAUCGGGGCAGGGUGAGUCGACCCCUAAGGCGAGGCCGAAAGGCGUAGUCGAUGGGAAACAGGUUAAUAUUCCUGUACUUGGUGUUACUGCGAAGGGGGGACGGAGAAGGCUAUGUUGGCCGGGCGACGGUUGUCCCGGUUUAAGCGUGUAGGCUGGUUUUCCAGGCAAAUCCGGAAAAUCAAGGCUGAGGCGUGAUGACGAGGCACUACGGUGCUGAAGCAACAAAUGCCCUGCUUCCAGGAAAAGCCUCUAAGCAUCAGGUAACAUCAAAUCGUACCCCAAACCGACACAGGUGGUCAGGUAGAGAAUACCAAGGCGCUUGAGAGAACUCGGGUGAAGGAACUAGGCAAAAUGGUGCCGUAACUUCGGGAGAAGGCACGCUGAUAUGUAGGUGAAGCGACUUGCUCGUGGAGCUGAAAUCAGUCGAAGAUACCAGCUGGCUGCAACUGUUUAUUAAAAACACAGCACUGUGCAAACACGAAAGUGGACGUAUACGGUGUGACGCCUGCCCGGUGCCGGAAGGUUAAUUGAUGGGGUUAGCGCAAGCGAAGCUCUUGAUCGAAGCCCCGGUAAACGGCGGCCGUAACUAUAACGGUCCUAAGGUAGCGAAAUUCCUUGUCGGGUAAGUUCCGACCUGCACGAAUGGCGUAAUGAUGGCCAGGCUGUCUCCACCCGAGACUCAGUGAAAUUGAACUCGCUGUGAAGAUGCAGUGUACCCGCGGCAAGACGGAAAGACCCCGUGAACCUUUACUAUAGCUUGACACUGAACAUUGAGCCUUGAUGUGUAGGAUAGGUGGGAGGCUUUGAAGUGUGGACGCCAGUCUGCAUGGAGCCGACCUUGAAAUACCACCCUUUAAUGUUUGAUGUUCUAACGUUGACCCGUGAUCCGGGUUGCGGACAGUGUCUGGUGGGUAGUUUGACUGGGGCGGUCUCCUCCUAAAGAGUAACGGAGGAGCACGAAGGUUGGCUAAUCCUGGUCGGACAUCAGGAGGUUAGUGCAAUGGCAUAAGCCAGCUUGACUGCGAGCGUGACGGCGCGAGCAGGUGCGAAAGCAGGUCAUAGUGAUCCGGUGGUUCUGAAUGGAAGGGCCAUCGCUCAACGGAUAAAAGGUACUCCGGGGAUAACAGGCUGAUACCGCCCAAGAGUUCAUAUCGACGGCGGUGUUUGGCACCUCGAUGUCGGCUCAUCACAUCCUGGGGCUGAAGUAGGUCCCAAGGGUAUGGCUGUUCGCCAUUUAAAGUGGUACGCGAGCUGGGUUUAGAACGUCGUGAGACAGUUCGGUCCCUAUCUGCCGUGGGCGCUGGAGAACUGAGGGGGGCUGCUCCUAGUACGAGAGGACCGGAGUGGACGCAUCACUGGUGUUCGGGUUGUCAUGCCAAUGGCACUGCCCGGUAGCUAAAUGCGGAAGAGAUAAGUGCUGAAAGCAUCUAAGCACGAAACUUGCCCCGAGA